rnacentral:rRNA from 1 species
UGGGGAAUAUUGCGCAAUGGGGGGAACCCUGACGCAGCCAUGCCGCGUGAAUGAAGAAGGCCUUCGGGUUGUAAAGUUCUUUCGGUAUUGAGGAAGGUUGAUGUGUUAAUAGCACAUCAAAUUGACGUUAAAUACAGAAGAAGCACCGGCUAACUCCGUGCCAGCAGCCGCGGUAAUACGGAGGGUGCGAGCGUUAAUCGGAAUAACUGGGCGUAAAGGGCACGCAGGCGGUUAUUUAAGUGAGGUGUGAAAGCCCCGGGCUUAACCUGGGAAUUGCAUUUCAGACUGGGUAACUAGAGUACUUUAGGGAGGGGUAGAAUUCCACGUGUAGCGGUGAAAUGCGUAGAGAUGUGGAGGAAUACCGAAGGCGAAGCNAGCCCCUUGGGAAUGUACUGACGCUCAUGUGCGAAAGCGUGGGGAGCAAACAGGAUUAGAUACCCUGGUAGUCCACGCUGUAAACGCUGUCGAUUUGGGGGUUGGGGUUUAACUCUGGCGCCCGUAGCUAACGUGAUAAAUCGACCGCCUGGGGAGUACGGCCGCAAGUUA